rnacentral:sRNA from 1 species
GGGAAGAGGGUGAGUCUUAAUCGUGCAGUUAAUCGCGUGACAAGGGAGCUGACUCAUUUCCUCCUCUGACAAUAAUUCACAGGAUUAUUUUUCACUCAGGAAACUGGGACAGGAGGUCGAAAUCUAUGUACCCAAUGGCGUCAGCUCAGCCAGAGUCCCGAUAGGAUUUGGUAUUAAGUUGAAAAAAAAAAAAAAAAAGCCACAAGUGGGCACUGUGCCUCUGUACACGUGAGACGAAGGUGUCUCAGAGGGGAGAGUGGCUAAAAGACUAGCAAGGGCAGCUCAGCCAGAGUUGUCUCUGUCACUCAAGUGCCCCAUGACCACCUCCUUGGUAACUGAUGAAGGAAGAUGGGUUAGAUUCCGUGCCCCAUGCCUGUGGGAGCCUUGCAGUGUUGACCAUGAGACGAAGGCCAGAGAUGCUUUCACGGUCAUUCUCUGAGGGAAGGUGACUGGGCUUCAGGCUGCUUUCUUAUUAAAGACUUUUUUUAUUAAGUUCAAGUCCAGGUCUGAAGAAAAAUGGGGUAGAAAUUCCAUUUUAAACCCCGACUGGUCCACUCUGUAGGAGCCCUGGUAGGCCGGAGUCUUCCACACUUAAGGUUCAGCUUCAAAUUACAACUCCUAAGGUCCGCUAAACCUAAAUUCCAUAUGUGCAAAAGAUAGAUGCCAGGAAGAAUGAAAAUUGGAAAACAGAAGAACCUGCUAUGGAGAUAUUGUGUCCCCACAAAUCAUAUAUUGAAGUUUUACCUCUUGAAGCGAUAUUUGAAGGCGAGACCUUUGAGAGGGCCCAUGGAAACCAGAAGAGGGUGUCAGGCCCCCAGGACCUGGACUUACAAUCACGUGUAAGCUGACAUGUGGCUGUUGGAAACUGAAUCCAGUCCUCCCAAAGAGCAGCUCAACGCUCUAAACCACUGAGCCAUCUCUCCAGUCCUUGUCUAAACCACUGAGUGAUCUCUCCAGUCCUCAUCUUUCUUUUUUCUUUUCUUUUCUUUACAUUAAAUUUAUCUUAUAUGUAGGAGUGCUUUGCCUACUUAUGUUCUUUGCAGCAUGUGCUGACUGGUGUUCUCAGAGGCCAGAGGUGUCAGAUCCCCUGGAACUGAAGUUACAGGUGGUUGUUAGUUGCCGUGUAGAUGCUAUGAAUCAAACCUAGGCCCAGGGACAGGUUGGCAGUGUCACUUGCCUUUAUGGGAGGUGGAGGCAGGUGGA